rnacentral:miRNA from 1 species
GGAGGAGAAGUUGAGGCAGGUGGUCAAGCAAGUCCUGAAGUGCGAUGUGACUCAGAGCCAGCCGCUGGGC